UACGUAGGGUGCAAGCGUUAAUCGGAAUUACUGGGGGUAAAGCGUGCGCAGGCGGUUUUGUAAGUCUGAUGUGAAAUCCCCGGGCUCAACCUGGGAAUUGCAUUGGAGACUGCAAGGCUAGAAUCUGGCAGAGGGGGGUAGAAUUCCACGUGUAGCAGUGAAAUGCGUAGAGAUGUGGAGGAACACCGAUGGCGAAGGCAGCCCCCUGGGUCAAGAUUGACGCUCAUGCACGAAAGCGUGGGGAGCAAACAGG
rnacentral:rRNA from 1 species